rnacentral:lncRNA from 1 species
AGGUGAUUUCCUCAUUGUGCAAACAUCACAGAGUAUACGUACACAAAUCUAGAUGGUAGCACCUAUUACACACCUAGGCUAUAUGCUAUAGCUUAUUGCUCCUAGGCUAUAAACCUCUACAGCAUGUUUCUGUACUGAAUUCUGUAGGCAACUGUAGCAGAAUGGAAAGUAUUUAUGUAUCUAAACAUAGAAAAAUAUAUAGUAAAAAUACAGCAUUGUAAUCAUAUAUGUGGGCCAUUAGGUGAUGCAUAACUGUAAUAUCUAAUAUUUAAUUUAUUAGAUAGUUAUCUCAAACAUUUAGUAUCUAGUAAAUAAACUUAUUUUAUAUUACUAUCUAGGGGACUUAUUUGAAAAUUACUGCAGAAAUGAUGACCUGGUAACAUUUGGAAGAUUUUGUUAUGGUGUCACUGUCAUUUUGACAUACCCUAUGGAAUGCUUUGUGACAAGAGAGGUAAUUGCCAAUGUGUUUUUUGGUGGGAAUCUUUCAUCGGUUUUCCACAUUGUUGUAACAGUGAUGGUCAUCACUGUAGCCACGCUUGUGUCAUUGCUGAUUGAUUGCCUCGGGAUAGUUCUAGAACUCAAUGGUGUGCUCUGUGCAACUCCCCUCAUUUUUAUCAUUCCAUCAGCCUGUUAUCUGAAACUGUCUGAAGAACCAAGGACACACUCCGAUAAGAUUAUGUCUUGUGUCAUGCUUCCCAUUGGUGCUGUGGUGAUGGUUUUUGGAUUCGUCAUGGCUAUUACAAAUACUCAAGACUGCACCCAUGGGCAGGAAAUGUUCUACUGCUU